UACAGAGGGGGCAAGCGUUGUUCGGAAUUACUGGGCGUAAAGGGCGCGUAGGCGGCCUUCUAAGUCGAACGUGAAAUCCCCGGGCUCAACCCGGGAACUGCGUCCGAUACUGGAAGGCUUGAAUCCGGGAGAGGGAUGCGGAAUUCCAGGUGUAGCGGUGGAAUGCGUAGAUAUCUGGAGGAACACCGGUGGCGAAGGCGGCAUCCUGGACCAUGACUGACGCUGAGGAGCGAAAGCCAGGGGAGCAAACGGG
rnacentral:rRNA from 1 species